rnacentral:rRNA from 1 species
UGAUCAGCCAUGCCGCGUGAGUGAUGAAGGCCUUAGGGUUGUAAAGCUCUUUCACCGAUGAAGAUAAUGACGGUAGUCGGAGAAGAAGCCCCGGCUAACUUCGUGCCAGCAGCCGCGGUAAUGAGAAGGGGGCUAGCGUUGUUCGGAAUUACU